GAGUGAACGCUGGCGAUAGGCCUAACACAUGCAAGUCGAACGGCAGCACAGUAAGAGCUUGCUCUUACGGGUGGCGAGUGGCGGACGGGUGAGGAAUACAUCGGAAUCUACUUUUUCGUGGGGGAUAACGUAGGGAAACUUACGCUAAUACCGCAUACGACCUACGGGUGAAAGCAGGGGAUCUUCGGACCUUGCGCGAUUGAAUGAGCCGAUGUCGGAUUAGCUAGUUGGCGGGGUAAAGGCCCACCAAGGCGACGAUCCGUAGCUGGUCUGAGAGGAUGAUCAGCCACACUGGAACUGAGACACGGUCCAGACUCCUACGGGAGGCAGCAGUGGGGAAUAUUGGACAAUGGGCGCAAGCCUGAUCCAGCCAUACCGCGUGGGUGAAGAAGGCCUUCGGGUUGUAAAGCCCUUUUGUUGGGAAAGAAAAGCAGCAGGUUAAUACCCCGCUGUUCUGACGGUACCCAAAGAAUAAGCACCGGCUAACUUCGUG
rnacentral:rRNA from 1 species